rnacentral:rRNA from 1 species
CAGUCGCCACGGUAAUACGGAGGGGGCUAGCGUUGUUCGGAAUUACUGGGCGUAAAGCGCACGUAGGCGGCUUGGUAAGUUAGAGGUGAAAGCCUGGAGCUCAACUCCAGAAUUGCCUUUAAGACUGCCGAGCUAGCAGGUGAGAGAGGUAAGUGGAAUUCCGAGUGUAGAGGUGAAAUUCGUAGAUAUUCGGAAGAACACCAGUGGCGAAGGCGGCUUACUGGCUCAUACUGGACGCUGAGGUGCGAAAGCGUGGGGAGCAAACAGGAUUAGAUACCCCAGUAGUCCCUGUCUCUUAUAC